rnacentral:lncRNA from 1 species
CGCGCGGCGGGGCGGGCGGGGAGCGCGGCCGGAGCCCCGAGCAGAGCUGAGCGCGGCGGAGCUCGGGAGCCGCGGCCCGCGCCCUGCGCCGCCGCCUGCUGGUCUGCUCCGGGUGCUCGGCCCCCGGUGCUAAGGCUCGGGUCUAUAAAUAGCAGGUUACAGCUCCUUCUCGGCGCGCACACGCUCACGCGCGAACGCAGGAAAGUCAGCCUAAAAGUGUCUGCCGCCGCCGCCCCCCGCUCAGCCUCCGGGAGAGAACCCAAAGAAAUGGUGUUACCUGGCCAGAGAUCUGCUGUCUUUUAUGAAAAGUCAGACCAAGGUUAGUGCUGCUUAUUUUUGAUAUGUUUUUAGUCUGUUUACCACAUGAAACUAUUGACUUUC